rnacentral:rRNA from 1 species
GACGAACGCUGGCGGCGUGCUUAACACAUGCAAGUCGAACGGUGAAGCGCCUUCCUUUUUGGUGGGUGUGGAUGAGUGGCGAACGGGUGAGUAACACGUGAGUAACCUGCCCCCUUCUUCUGGAUAACCGCAUGAAAGUGUGGCUAAUACGGGAUAUUCUGGGUCUGUCGCAUGAUGGGUCUGGGAAAGAUAUUGUUUCGGUUGGGGAUGGGCUCGCGGCCUAUCAGCUUGUUGGUGGGGUGAUGGCCUACCAAGGCGGUGACGGGUAGCCGGCCUGAGAGGGUGGCCGGCCCCACUGGGGCGGCGACCCCGCCCAGCCUCCUACGGGAGGCAGCAGUGGGGAUUAUUGCACGAUGGGCGCCAGCCUGAUGCAGCGACGCCGCGUGAGGGAUGGAGGCCUUCGGGUUGUGAACCUCUUUCGCCAGUGAAGCAGGCCUGCCUCGUUUGUGGGUGGGUUGACGGUAGCUGGAUAAGAAGCGCCGGCUAACUACGUG